UACGGGGGGGGCAAGCGUUGUUCGGAAUUACUGGGCGUAAAGGGCUCGUAGGCGGCCAACUAAGUCGGAUGUGAAAUCCCCAGGCUUAACCUGGGAACUGCAUCCGAUACUGGAUGGCUUGAAUCCGGGAGAGGGAUGCAGAAUUCCAGGUGUAGCGGUGAAAUGCGUAGAUAUCUGGAGGAAUACCGGUGGCGAAGGCGGCAUUCUGGACCGACAUUGACGCUGAACGGCGAAAGCUAGGGGAGCAAACAGG
rnacentral:rRNA from 1 species